rnacentral:tRNA from 1 species
GCUGGGUUAGCUUAACUGGUAAAGCCGCCAGAUGUUUCUGGCGAGUUGGAAGGUUCAAGUCCUUUCACCCAGCUCCA